ensembl:rRNA 5S_rRNA 5S ribosomal RNA
GUCUCAGGCCGUAUCAGCCUGAAGGCGCCCCGAUCUCGUCUGAUCUCGGAAGCUAAGCAGGGUCGGGCCUGGUUAGGAUCUUGGAUGGGAGACCACCUGGGAAUCCCGGGUGCUCGAGGCU